rnacentral:rRNA from 1 species
GACGAACGCUGGCGGCGUGCUUAACACAUGCAAGUCGAACGGAAAGGCCUCUUUCGGGGGGUACUCGAGUGGCGAACGGGUGAGUAACACGUGAGUAACCUGCCCUUGACUUUGGGAUAACUUCAGGAAACUGGGGCUAAUACCGGCUAGGAGCUCCUGCUGCAUGGUUGGGGUUGGAAAGUUUCGGCGGGUGGGGAUGGCCUCGCGGCUUAUCAGCCUUUUGGUGGGGUAGUGGCUUACCAACGCUUUGACGGGUCGCCGGCCUGAGAGGGUGACCGGCCACAUUGGGACUGAGAGAAGGCCCAGACUGCUACGGGAGGCAGAAGUGGGGAAGACUGAACAAGGGGUGGAAGCCGGAUGCAGAAACGCCGUGGGCGGGAGGACGGCCUUAGGGUUGUAAAACGCAUGCGCUCAUGACGAAGCUUUGUGUGACGGUAGUGGGUAAAGAAGCACCGGCUAACUACGUG